GACUUUUUGCUCUUGUCAAACGACUUUUUGCGUUUUGGUCCGCCAUAUUGGAUCCGCCAUCUUGAAUUUCUAACUUUUGAGAGCGGAUUCGUGAUCAGUGACCCUGAAAACCCCCGAGUACCGACUUUCGCUUUCGUCAAACGAGUUUU